UACGGAGGGUGCGAGCGUUGUCCGGAAUCACUGGGCGUAAAGCGCGCGCAGGCGGUCUUCCAAGUCAGUGGUGAAAGCCCGGAGCUCAACUCCGGAACUGCCAUUGAAACUGUGAGACUGGAGUACGAGAGAGGUGAGUGGAAUUCCCAGUGUAGAGGUGAAAAUUCGUAGAUAUUGGGAAGAACACCGGUGGCGAAGGCGGCUCACUGGCUCGUAACUGACGCUCAGGCGCGACAGCGUGGGGGAUCAAAACAGG
rnacentral:rRNA from 1 species